AGAGGAGCAAUGGGAAGGAGAGAGAAAGAAUCCCAAGGCUCAAGCCCUGGGAUAAUAGUCUGAGCAGAAAUCAAGAGUUGGAAGCUCAACUGACUGAGCCACCCAGGUGCCCCAGUGGUGGUGUUUUUACAAGGGAUUCUCAUCAAAUCUUUAACCCCUGGCCAUUUAAGUCUUUGUCACCCACAGAUAGUUUUUGUUUCGCUCUGCUGCUUCUGCAAAAGCAUUUGCAAUCAGCUACAGGCCAGAGUGGUUUGUCUUCAACCGGAAGGGACUGUCUCCAAGAUCCAUGAAAUGCCCCUCAUUAAAUGCCUGAUCACUGGCACCAUCCAGCAAGUAUCCUCUACUAGCGAGUUCCAACAGAUGGUUCAAUAAAAGGUGAUCAAAUGGAAAUGGGCUUAUAUUAUUCAGCAGAAAGAACAUCUCUUCUUUCCUUUAACAAGAGGGAGAGACCUGCCAAAGACUCUUUCCUUGACCAAACUCUAUCCAGGCUCCUCUGAGCCUUCUUCUCAACUAGGCCUCAACCUUGGCCUACAAAGACUUGAACAAACACUAAAUAGCAUCUAACAGCUCAAAGUUGCAUCCUUAGGAUGACCUUAGCCCCCUUAAGGUGCAUGCCAGAGAAAACUCCAGGCUUCCCAAAGAAGUGACUGUUCCAGCAAACACCUGAGGAUAGGGCUCCAUCUCCAAGUCGCUGUGGGAGCUUUCAUAAGCAUGACUUAGCACAUCCAAAUGGGUGUUACACAGACCAGCUUCCUCUUCCCACUUUUCAUAACUUCUCACUUCCCUGACUCACUCCUGCCAUCCCCCUCCCCCACUCACUCACUCUUCUUUCCAAAGGCCCAGUGCCUCUGAACAAAUCUGAAUGGAGCUCAGCUCUUUCCCCUACUGUGGGUAGUUACUGAAUAAAAUCUGUCCUUACUGCUGUAA